CAGCCGUAAACAAUGUGCGUUAGGUGUGUCGGUAACCACGUGUUACUGAUGCGCCGAAGAGAAAUCGUGAAACGCACCACCUGGGAAGUACGGUCGCAAGGCUGAAACUUAAAGGAAUUGGCGGGGGAGCACCACAACAGGUGGAGCCUGCGGUUUAAUUGGAUUCAACGCCGGGAAGCUCACCGGAUAGGACAGCAGAAUGAUUGCCGGGCUGAAGACCCUGCAUGACUAGCUGAGAGGAGGUGCAUGGCGUAGACGUCU
rnacentral:rRNA from 1 species